rnacentral:rRNA from 1 species
UACAGAGGGGGCAAGCGUUGUCCGGAUUCAUUGGGCGUAAAGAGCGUGUAGGCGGCCAGGUAGGUCGGUUGUGAAAACUGGAGGCUCAACCUUCAGAGGUCGACCGAAACCAUCUGGCUAGAGUCCGGGAGAGGAGAGUGGAAUUCCUGGUGUAGCGGUGAAAUGCGCAGAUAUCAGGAAGAACACCGGUGGCGAAGGCGGUUCUCUGGGCAUUACCUGACGCUGAGGAGCGAAAGUGUGGGGAGCGAACAGG